CAGAGCAGCACUGCUGCAAGCUAACUGCAACAAAAGCCAGGCACUUAUUUUUUAGGAAACUGGAACUGGGAUUUUUGUUUCUCCUAAGGGAAGAAAAAACCCUGUGCAUAAGAGAAGUUUUGUUUUCCAGCUGGCCUAUGAUGUUCCCCUGAGCUCUGACACCCAGUAAGAGAACAAAUCCCUCCAAGUUGAUGGGAACAGCAUCAUGGAGACUAUUCAAAAGUAGCAAACACACAGACUCCCCACAAUUCCAGUAAUCCUCACACUGAAAUCCAACAGUUAAAGUUAAGAGUUAACUUGAUUCUAAAAAGCAUCAAGUGGUUUCACUUACAAGUAACACCAUAUUCAAAAGCUGUAGAAGUUCUUUACAGACAAGUAUACUGCGAAUUACUUGUAUUCUACAUGAUUUAUCAGUCUUCUUUAGGUAGGAACUUUACAGAACUAGAUGCACGCCUGCAGAACAACAGUCGCUGCUCACAAGUAUUUAUGAUCUGCUUAGAGUCUGGCACAUUUCACUUGGUUUUACUGCAAGAAUCAGAUAUCAAAAGUCAAGCUAUAAGCAGGAAUAAG